rnacentral:guide_RNA from 1 species
AUUAUAACAACAUCAAUAUUACUUAGAGUGGUAGUUAGAUUGUGUAA